CUCUUACACACUAUCACACUCAGUCUUCUCACAUAAUGCUACCAUACACAAUCCCAUGACUUUUCACCUUUCCCUCCAUCUCCCCCUCACACCUCCCCACAUUUUCCUCCACAAUGUCCCCUGCCUACCUUUACUUUCCUCCACUCGCAUUAUCCUUCCAUUAAAAAAGCACAACUGUCACACACUAUCACACUUAGCCAACAACACAAUCAAACUCCAC